UACAGAGGUCCCAAGCGUUGUUCGGAUUCACUGGGCGUAAAGGGUGCGUAGGUGGCGAGGUAAGUCGGAUGUGAAAUCUCCGAGCUCAACUCGGAAAUGGCAUUGGAAACUACCUUGCUCGAGGGUUGGAGGGGGGACUGGAAUACUUGGUGUAGCAGUGAAAUGCGUAGAUAUCAAGUGGAACACCAGUGGCGAAGGCGAGUCCCUGGACAACUCCUGACACUGAGGCAUGAAAGCUAGGGGAGCAAACAGG
rnacentral:rRNA from 1 species